CAGUCGCCACGGGAAUACGGAGGGGGCUAGCGUUGUUCGGAAUUACCGGGCGUAAAGCGCACGUAGGCGGCUUGGUAAGUUAGAGGUGAAAGCCUGGAGCUCAACUCCAGAAUUGCCUUUAAGACUGCCGAGCUAGCAGGUGAGAGAGGUAAGUGGAAUUCCGAGUGUAGAGGUGAAAUUCGUAGAUAUUCGGAAGAACACCAGUGGCGAAGGCGGCUUACUGGCUCAUACUGGACGCUGAGGUGCGAAAGCGUGGGGAGCAAACAGGAUUAGAUACCCGCGUAGUCCCUGUCUCUUAUAC
rnacentral:rRNA from 1 species